rnacentral:sRNA from 1 species
UCAACAUCCGAUAGUCCCUACAAGGUCGC